CCUACGGGUGGCUGCAGUAAGGAAUAUUGGUCAAUGGACGAAAGUCUGAACCAGCCAUGCCGCGUGGAGGAUGAAGGUCCUCUGGAUUGUAAACUUCUUUUAUAUGGGACGAAAAAAGGCCUUUCUAGGCCGUCUGACGGUACCAUAUGAAUAAGCACCGGCUAACUCCGUGCCAGCAGCCGCGGUAAUACGGAGGGUGCAGGCGUUAUCCGGUUUAAAGGGUGUGUAGGUGUGCGUAUAAGUGAGUGGUGAAAUCUCUGAGCUUAACUUGGAAACUGCCAUUGAUACUAUUAAUCUUGAAUAUUGUGGAGGUUAGCGGAAUAUGUCAUGUAGCGGUGAAAUGCUUAGAUAUGACAUAGAACACCAAUUGCGAAGGCAGCUGGCUACACAUAUAUUGACACUGAGGCACGAAAGCGUGGGGAACAAACAGGAUUAGAUACCCCAGUAGUC
rnacentral:rRNA from 1 species